AAUGUUUUAGGUUAAGUAAACCAACAGCCUUCAAAGCUGUGAAUGGGAUUCCAUCCCAAACAUUA
rnacentral:tRNA from 1 species